GAAAUAUUUGUUUCUUGAAUCCUUGGUUACACCAUUUAGCUUUUCUAAAAAUUGUCUAGACCAUGGUCUUGAGACACAAAACAUGUGAGUCUCACAUGCAAUAUGUGUCUUGGUCCACCAUGGUAUAUGGCUUAGGCAAGAAUUACUCAUACAGAAAAGACAAAGGGGAAAUGAUGACUUGCCUGUGGUAAAGUUCUUAUCUUCCAACUGGAGAAGUGGAAGCGCAGAUGAUGGAGGAAAUGACUGUGAAGACUUAGAACCCAUUGUCUAGUUGAAGUAUUGAAGUUUAACCUAUAAUGUAAAUUUGUUGGGCAAGGCUGCUCCUUAAUUUAAUGGACCUGACAAUACAUAUGAGAGGGCUUUUAUUGAUCACUUCGUUGUCUUUUUCAGGGGAUCCACAUGAGUUGGAGAUGUAAACAUUGAGGAAAAAUUACUUGAGUCUCCCCAAAUGCUAGUGUAAUUAAUACUUUCGGUCCUUGUUUAAUAAAUGUGCACUUCACUUUCUAUGAUUCUCCUGAAAUUUUAGUCUUAUGUGCUAUACUAUUAAUUUUUUUUUUACUACAUUUUUGUCUUUAA
rnacentral:misc_RNA from 1 species